rnacentral:rRNA from 1 species
GGACCCGCACAAGCGGUGGAGUAUGUGGCUUAAUUCGAUGCAACGCGAAGAACCUUACCUAGGCUUGACAUGCUUGUCGUACUCUCCCGAAAAGGAGAGGUCACUUCGGGUGGACAAUGCACAGGUGCUGCAUGGCCGUCGUCAGCUCGUGUCGUGAGAUGUUUGGUUAAGUCCAGCAACGAGCGCAACCCCUGUGAACUGUUGCCAGCGCGUAAAGGCGGGGACUCUGUUCAGACUGCCCAGAUCAACUGGGAGGAAGGUGGGGACGACGUCAGGUCAGUAUGGCCCUUACGCCUAGGGCUGCACACGUACUACAAUGCCCAGUACAAUGUGAACCGAUACCGCAAGGUGGAGGAAAUCCUUAAAACUGGGCUCAGUUCGGAUUGUGGGCUGCAACUCGCCCACAUGAAGCUGGAAUCGCUAGUAAUGGCACAUC